AUGAUGAUCCUGGAAGUCACCGCAAACGCUGGCCAAAAGAUUGGGACGUUAAUAGACUUGGCGUCCGACACAAAUUACAUAACUCAUGAAGCUGCUGGUGAGCUGAAUUUGAGGAGUGAGGUUGUGACGCUCAUAGUCCAUGGAGUCGGUGGGAUGCAGGUGACAGUGGAGACCAAGCGUUACCUCCUGAAGAUCCGGGUCUCAACUUCAAAAGGAACCCUCAGAUCCCACCAGCUCGUGUGCUACGGGCUGGACAGCAUCGCAAAGGUCCGUAGUCAUGUGCCACCCAAAACUCUGCAGAAACUAUUCCCCGACGUCCCUCUCCAUGAACUGGUCCGUCCCACCAAGAUCGAACUGCUCAUCAGCCACAAAGAAGGGCAACUCGUCCCUCAAAAGGUGCGCUCUAUCGGUGACCUUGUCCUGUGGGAUGGCCCCCUCGGGAAAACAGUGGGCGGCUCUCAUCCAGACCUCUUGGAGGAAGUCAAAAUCACUGCCCACGGGUCCAGAACCCACUUUGCUCGCUCCAUGCGCAUAGCAGCUGUAGGGUACAGAGAGAUCACCCACGGCCCAGUACAGCCACCUCAACUUUCCCAAGCCACUACAUCUUCUGCCAGUCGAGACUUCAUGACCUGGUGGAAGUGGGACAGCAUCGGGGCCGCGUGCGAGCCCAGGUGCAGCGGCUGCAGGUGUGGAAAUUGCCAGCCUGGAGGGAAGGAGAUGUCAAUCUCAGAGGAGCGAGAACUGGAGCAAAUAAAGAGUGGACUGACAUACACCACCGGAGAUCGCCACAGCGAGAAACCACACUGGCAUGCCAAAUACCCCUGGGUGGAAGACCCAGCAACACUGCCGAACAACAGGAGAGCUGUCGAAGCAACAUUCCUGAGGACAGAAAAACAGUUGGCAAAGGAGCCAAAAUGGAAGGCGGCCUACAAAGCUCAAGUCCAUGAGAUGGUCGACCGGAGAGCUGCAGUCAAACUGUCCAAAGAAGAUUCGGCAAGCUGGACUGGGCCUGUGUGGUACAUCAGCCACUUGAUUGCUCCAAAUCCGCACUCUGUGACUACACCAGUCCGUUUGGUCUGGAAUAAUAGUCAGAAAUUCAAGGGCCAGAGCCUGAAUGACCUACUCCUCAAAGGUCCAGACGUCCUUAACGACAUUCGUGCUGUCCUCAUCCGAUUCCGGCAAGGAGUCUUCGCCGCACUUGGGGACAUAAAAAAAAUGUACAAUUCUGUAUGGCUUGAGGACCAAGAAGUGCAUCUCCACCGCUUCCUGUGGAGAGACUCUGAGGAGGAGGACAUCCAGGAAUAUGCCAUCACGAGGGUCAACAUUGGCGACAAACCAGCAGGCUGUAUCGCACAAGUCGCCAUGCGGGAAACUGCAAAUUUGCCCAUGAUCCACCAUCUCGCAGAAGAGCGUCGAGUGCUGGAGCAAGACGCGUACGUCGAUGACAUCUUGGUCUCGAAUGACAACCUGAACAAGCUCAAGCAAAUCACGGCAAACGUUGAGCAAAUCCUGGAAGCUGGUGGAUUCUAUAUGAAGCCAUGGGUCUACUCAGGCCAAAGUGGGAGGUCAGAACCAGGUGACCCCCAGAAGAAAGAACCCUCAGUGAUGGUCCUCCCAAACCAACUCUCAGAGGAGAACAACAAAGCCCUGGGUCUUGGGUACGAUCCAGAGCACGACAAGCUUCACCUAAUGGUGGCUGUGAACUUCUCCAAAAAGAAGAAGAAAAUGCGGCUGGGAGUAAACCUGUCAAAAGAGGAAGUCAGGGCCCAGGCACCAAAUCCACUUACCCGGCGAGAGCUCCUCAGUCAAGUCUCUGGGCUGUACGAUCCCCUCGGCCUUGCAGCACCGGUCAAGCAGAAGGGAGCCAUCCUGGUAAGAAGAGCAUUCCAGGAGGCAAGAGUUAAGCACAGUCCAGCUGAGGAUACAUGGGACGCACCUUUGUCCGAGGGCCUUCGGGAAGACGCCAUCUGCCUCUUUGAAGACUACGCUGAGCUCAGUCGGGUGAAGUUCACCAGAGCCUUGACACCACCUGACUCUUGUGCCAAACCCUGCGGUAUCACCUUCUCUGAUGGCAGCGAGCGUUCCUAUGGUGCUGUACUGUACCUACGGUGGGAAAUGCCACACACUGUGACCCUACGACUGGUCGAAGCCAAAGCCAGGUUGACUCCUCUAGACCACAAGGGCGACGCUGUCAAGGCUGAAGUCUGCGGUGCCGUCUACGCUGGCCGUCUAAAGAAGUACUUCCAGAAGCACUGUAGUAUCCGUGUGGAAAAGUGGUACCACCUGAUCGACAGCCGGACAGUCCUGGGGGCCAUCCAACGUGAGAGCUACGGCUACCAAACGUUUUUUGCCAAUAGAAUUGGAGAAAUCCAAGGCAGCACAAACGUCCAAGACUGGUGGUGGAUUCCUGGGCCUCUCAACAUCGCAGAUAUUAUCUCAAAGCAAGCCCGGAGGAGCUGGACGAAGACACUGAAUGGCAGCUUGGUCCCAAGUUUCUGA
rnacentral:lncRNA from 1 species